CCUACGGGGGGCAGCAGUGGGGAAUAUUGGACAAUGGGGGCAACCCUGAUCCAGCCAUGCCGCGUGUGUGAAGAAGGCCCUCGGGUUGUAAAGCACUUUCAGUGAGGAAGAACGCCUGGUGGUUAAUACCCAUCAGGAAAGACAUCACUCACAGAAGAAGCACCGGCUAACUCCGUGCCAGCAGCCGCGGUAAUACGGAGGGUGCGAGCGUUAAUCGGAAUUACUGGGCGUAAAGCGCGCGUAGGUGGCUUGAUAAGCCGGUUGUGAAAGCCCCGGGCUCAACCUGGGAACGGCAUCCGGAACUGUCAAGCUAGAGUGCAGGAGAGGAAGGUAGAAUUCCCGGUGUAGCGGUGAAAUGCGUAGAGAUCGGGAGGAAUACCAGUGGCGAAGGCGGCCUUCUGGACUGACACUGACACUGAGGUGCGAAAGCGUGGGUAGCAAACAGGAUUAGAUACCCCUGAGUC
rnacentral:rRNA from 1 species